rnacentral:rRNA from 1 species
UCGAGUGACUCACUCCGGCUCGACUCUCCCACCCUAUGUGUACCUCCUCUGUGCUUUGGCGGGCCGCGGUCCUCCGCACCGGCCCCCCUUCGGGGGCUGGCCAGCGCCCGCCAGAGGACCACAAAACCCAGCAGUAAACGUCCAGCUGAAAAACAAGUUAAUAAACUAAAACUUCAACAACGGAUCUCUGGUCUGGCAUCGAUGAAGAACGCAGCGAAUGCGAUAAGUAAUGUGAUGCAGAAUUCAGUGAACAUCGAAUCUUGAACGCACAUGCGCCCCUUGGUAUUCCGAGGGGCAUGCCUGUUCGAGCGUCAUUCAACCCUCAAGCUCUGCUUGGUAUUGGGCUCCGUCCUCCACGGACGCGCCUCGAAGACCUCGGCGGUGGCGUCUUGCCUCGAGCGUAGUAGAAACACCUCGCUUGGAGCGCACGGCGUCGCCCGCCGACGAACCUUGGAUUUUCAGUUGACCUCGGAUCAGGUAGGAU